rnacentral:sRNA from 1 species
UCGCCGAAAGGUGAGUUCUCUGAAUGGG